UUAAGGAGACGGCAGAUGCUGUAGAGAUGCUACAGAUGUACCCUUCUAUAAUGAGCAGUAUGGACGGGAUCACAGCUGUUCCAAGAUAUCGAAAUAUGUAUUCCACAAAUCUCAGAUUUGAAGCAGAUGGUGAAGUUUUGAAAACGAGUCUUUUAGAAUUUGCAAAACAAUGCAACAUCUGCUGUUAACACAACCCCCAUGAAGAAUUUUCUGACAAGCUUCAGGAUGUGGCUGGAUGGAACAGGGGCGAGACCUAGACACAAUUAUUACCUAUAGAUUGAAAUAAAUCAGUAUGAUGAAGCAAAACAUGAAUAUGUCUCGAGGAAUGGAUGUUCUUAGUCUUCGGUCGAUUUAGGAGAUGUGACCGGAGCCUUCGUAUAUACACGAGACUAUGUUCCACGGUUUCUGGCACUUGACUCCACAUUUUCAUAAAUAUUGCCUAAUAAACUACCCAUUUUGUUUCUCACAAAAUUUGAAAGAAACAAUGACCACGUUGUAUUUCUGAGAGAUGCAUUAUGCAGUGUUAGAAUACUUAUACAUCUAUUUUAUAUAAAGCACAGGUAUUUUUUCCGUUUGUAUAGUUUCAUUUAUUUAUGUCUCUUUAUCUUUGGUCAUCGGACAAACUUUAUGUCAAUAUGUCGAUGGACUGUAUUUCUGUUCUUCCCUGCUCCAACAGAAUGACUAUCAGAAAUGCCCACCCUUUGUUGAUAGUUUUCUGUUUCAUGUUUGAUUACUAGAUGGUAACUGUUUAGGAUACAACCAGCUUUAUAAUGCAGCGAAUGAAAACAAUAAAAAUAUUGAUAAUAAUGUUUUCUUCAUCGUUUCAGGAUAAAUGAUACUCUUACAUUUGUGUAGACAGCUCGAUGUUUGUAUUUGGGGUUUUAACAUUAGCAAAGUGAAUGGUAUAUAUGAUUCAUAACAGAAAUAUAUUUUGCAAUUGUAUUAUCAGUGUAUGAAAUAAGGCCCGUCCAACCGCCCAAGACGGGCUAGA